UCUGGUGACUAUGGCAAAGAGGUCACACCCGUUCCCAUACCGAACACGGAAGUUAAGCUCUUUAGCGCCGAUGGUAGUUGGGGGUUUCCCCCUGUGAGAGUAGGACGAGCCAUUAGCU
rnacentral:rRNA from 1 species